ACGUGAGUGGACAUUUCGUGGGAAUUGUGUGAAACUUUUGCAAUUUUUGUCGGUUUACUACAUUUUUGAGCCUUAUUAAGUUUCCGUUGAAUUCGUAGUAAAUGUUAUAGGAAUAGUGAAUACUAUUAUUAUUAUAUUAUCAUUAUUAUGGGGGCUUAUUACACUGCACGCACUUCUGAUGUGGUCUAUAGUGCUUGGCUCUAUACUUCGUAGCAAAAUUAUGUGUCACCUGAUUCAAACCCUGUUGAAAAUGUUUGAGCAAUAGUUAAGCAGAAAUUAAAAGGAAAACAAAUAUGGUUGGUUAAACUGUUAUCAAGGAAAAUUCGGCUGAUUUGGAGCCGAUUACCCCAACAAUUUGCGUAGAAAUUAACACAAAAUCUAUCAACAUUUCAAGGAGAAAUUAUGCAGACCGUGGAGUAACUGUUUUUUCAUUGUAC